AUUGAGCCUUGAUGUGUAGGAUAGGUGGGAGGCUUUGAAGUGUGGACGCCAGUCUGCGUGGAGCCAACCUUGAAAUACCACCCUUUAAUGUUUGAUGUUCUAACGUAGACCCGUGAUCCGGGUUGCGGACAGUGUCUGGUGGGUAGUUUGACUGGGGCGGUCUCCUCCCAAAGAGUAACGGAGGAGCACGAAGGUUAGCUAAUCCUGGUCGGACAUCAGGAGGUUAGUGCAAUGGCAUAAGCUAGCUUGACUGCGAGCGUGACGGCGCGAGCAGGUGCGAAAGCAGGUCAUAGUGAUCCGGUGGUUCUGAAUGGAAGGGCCAUCGCUCAACGGAUAAAAGGUACUCCGGGGAUAACAGGCUGAUACCGCCCAAGAGUUCAUAUCGACGGCGGUGUUUGGCACCUCGAUGUCGGCUCAUCACAUCCUGGGGCUGAAGUAGGUCCCAAGGGUAUGGCUGUUCGCCAUUUAAAGUGGUACGCGAGCUGGGUUUAGAACGUCGUGAGACAGUUCGGUCCCUAUCUGCCGUGGGCGCUGGAGAAUUGAGGGGGGCUGCUCCUAGUACGAGAGGACCGGAGUGGACGCAUCACUGGUGUUCGGGUUGUCAUGCCAAUGGCAUUGCCCGGUAGCUAAAUGCGGAAAAGAUAAGUGCUGAAAGCAUCUAAGCACGAAACUUGCCCCGAGAUGAGUUCUCCCUGACUCCUUGAGAGUCCUGAAGGAACGUUGAAGACGACGACGUUGAUAGGUCGGGUGUGUAAGCGUAGCGAUACGUUGAGCUAACCGAUACUAAUGAACCGUGAGGCUUAACCUU
rnacentral:rRNA from 1 species